rnacentral:rRNA from 1 species
UACAUAGGGUGCAAGCGUUGUCCGGAAUUAUUGGGCGUAAAGAGCUCGUAGGUUGUUUGUCGCGUCGAUUGUGAAAAUCUGAGGCUCAACCUCAGACCUGCAGUCGAUACGGGCAAACUAGAGUGUGGUAGGGGAGACUGGAAUUCCUGGUGUAGCGGUGGAAUGCGCAGAUAUCAGGAGGAACACCAAUGGCGAAGGCAGGUCUCUGGGCCAUAACUGACACUGAGGAGCGAAAGUGCGGGGAGCGAACAGGAUUAGAUACCCUGGUAGUCCGCACCGUAAACGGUGGGCACUAGUUGUGGGAACCUUCCACGGUUUCCGCGACGCAGCAAACGCAUUAAGUGCCCCGCCUGGGGAGUACGAUCGCAAGAUUAAAACUCAAAGGAAUUGACGGGGCCCCGCACAAGCAGCGGAGCAUGCGGCUUAAUUCGACGCAACGCGAAGAACCUUACCAAGGCUUGACAUAUAGCGAAAAGUGGCAGAGAUGCCAUGUCCGCAAGGGCGCUAUACAGGUGGUGCAUGGUUGUCGUCAGCUCGUGUCGUGAGAUGUUGGGUUAAGUCCCGCAACGAGCGCAACCCUCGUUCUGUGUUACCAGCAUUCAGUUGGGGACUCACAGGAGACUGCCGGGGUCAACUCGGAGGAAGGUGGGGAUGACGUCAAAUCAUCAUGCCCCUUAUGUCUUGGGCUGCACGCAUGCUACAAUGGCCGGUACAAAGUGCUGCGAGAUCGUAAGAUUGAGCGAAUCACAUAAAGCCGGUCUCAGUUCGGAUUGAGGUCUGCAACUCGACCUCAUGAAGUCGGAGUUGCUAGUAAUCGUAGAUCAGCAACGCUACGGUGAAUACGUUCCCGGGGCU